GACGAACGCUGGCGGCGUGCUUAACACAUGCAAGUCGAACGGUGAAGCCCUGCUUGUUGGGGGUGUGCGAGGCGCAAACGUGUGUGUCACGCGUGUAUAAUCUGCCCUUCACUGGGAUAUAGCUUCGAAAAGCUGGGUCUUAUACGGUAUUCAAUGUCCUGCUGCUGGGUGGUGGUGGGAAGGUUUCUGCUGGUGGGGGUUGGGUUCCCGGUUUUUCAGUUUGUUGGUGGGGUGGUGGCUUACAAGGGUUUUGCCGGGUAGCGGGCCUGAGAGGGUGACCGACGACAUUGGGACUGAGAUCCGGCCCAGACUCCUACGGGGGGAAGCAGUGGGGAAGAGUGAACAAUGGGCGGAAGCCUGAUGCAGCAACGCGGCGUGCGGGAUGACGGCAUUCGGUUUGUAAACCGCUUUCGCCUGUGACGAAGCGUGAGUGACGGUAGUGGGUAAAGAAGCACCGGCUAACUACGUG
rnacentral:rRNA from 1 species